AGCCCAGACACGUUUCUUCACGGAGUCCAAGGAAAACACUUUACCGAACUCAUAUGGGAUGGCCCUGUAAGUUGUGCAGCACUGUUGUACCAACCAAGAGUGACAUUUUAAAGCAUUACAGACUGCACCAUGGGACCUUUGGACACAGCCAUUCCUUGCCUUGCAUUCAUAUUAAUGAAGCGUUCCGAAGGUGCACUGCUGUUCCACUGGAAUCAACAUUUAUGUCACAACUGGACAGGUACACUCCAAAACUCCUGGAGCUCUCCAGUGCAAAAGGAGGAGUGACUGCAGCGCAUCAAGAACUUGUUGAUGGAACUGAUACAGGACCCAAGUGCCUCUGCAGUGAAGAAGAGAGAUGUGACUGUGAGAUGCCUCAUAGAGUACAUGGGAGAGAGUGGACAGG